UGCCUUCCUGUCUGUG
rnacentral:miRNA from 1 species